AACAUCGCGCACCUGCGGGAACCUGCGGAAGGAUCAUUAGAAGAAGAGAGAUCGAUCCCGACGAACGUGGGGACGAUCGAAUCCACAUAUCCACCCCGUGUGCACCUAUCGACCGUUUGCUUUGGCAGGAAAAGGAGCCUUCGAUCCGGAGGCGCCGGGAGGACACGCGUGUGCGUAAUACGCGUAGCCUCGGCCUGCCAGAGUUUUCCUCCGAACUUCGCGCCUUCUUUUUUUACUUGC
rnacentral:misc_RNA from 1 species